rnacentral:rRNA from 1 species
CCUACGGGAGGCAGCAGUGAGGAAUUUUCUGCAAUGGGCGAAAGCCUGACAGAGCAAUACCGCGUGAGGGAUGAAGGCCUACGGGUUGUAAACCUCUUUUCUCAAGGAGGAAGAUCUGACGUUACUUGAGGAAUAAGCAUCGGCUAACCCUGUGCCAGCAGCCGCGGUAAUACAGGGGAUGCAAGUGUUAUCCGGAAUUAUUGGGCGUAAAGCGUCUGCAGGUUGAUAUUUAAGUCUUUUGUUAAACCUCCGGGCUCAACCCGGAAUCUGCAAAGGAAACUAUAUAUCUUGAGUAUGGUAGGGGUAAAGGGAAUUUCCAGUGGAGCGGUGAAAUGCGUAGAUAUUGGAAAGAACACCAACAGCGAAGGCACUUUACUGGGCCAGUACUGACACUCAGAGACGAAAAGCUAGGGGAGCCAACAGGAUUAGAUACCCUGGUAGUCCUAGCUGUAAACGAUGGAUACUAGAUGUUGUGUACCUUUGGGUAUGCAGUGUCGUAGCUAACGUACGUUAAGUAAUACCGUCCGUCGGGUAAGGUAAGUAGCGUCGCGAAGAAGUAGAAACGUAACAAAUAAGUAAGUUAGUUACGGCGUGAGAAGUAGCCGAACGGACGACCACGAGGGGAGGAGG